rnacentral:tRNA from 1 species
GCGAGGGUGGCGGAACUGGCAUACGCGCUGGACUUAGGAUCCAGUCCCUAACCGGAUGGGGGUUCAACUCCCCCUCCUCGCA